UGGGGAAUCUUCGGCAAUGGACGAAAGUCUGACCGAGCAACGCCGCGUGAGUGAAGAAGGUUUUCGGAUCGUAAAACUCUGUUGGUAGAGAAGAACGUUGGUGAGAGUGGAAAGCUCAUCAAGUGACGGUAACUACCCAGAAAGGGACGGCUAACUACGUGCCAA
rnacentral:rRNA from 1 species